rnacentral:tRNA from 1 species
UUGCAGAAAGUGAGAAAAUUACAACUGAUUUCGGCUCAGUCCUUGAUGGUGUAAGUCCGUCUCUGCUAA